CCGGGCCGGGGGCGGCUCCCUCGCCCCGGCCCGCGGUCAUGUGACCCGUCCAAGAUGGCUGCCGGGGAGCGCCGCGCCGCGCCCGCCGCGGGAAAGGAGGAAGACUUUGAGAUUAUUGAUAAAAAACAGAUCCCUGACGCGGCUGAGCUGAGGAACGAGGAGAAGGCGAAACCGGAGGAAGCGCGAUGGUCUGCUCCGAUCUUGUCUCUGGCCAGGAAAGCCUCGGAAAACUUGGCGCUGAGCUAUGGCAGCGCCCUGAAGUCCGCAUCCCUGGUGGGGUUGGUGUCCAAGCCCGGCAGCAGUGACAGCCCGGCAAAGACAAGUACGGCUCCGCUUCUUUAGUAAACUCGCUUUUGUGGUGCGCAAAUGAGUUCGCUCCCAGAGGUCAGAAGCUUCAAAACUAGAGAAAACGAAACAAGAAAGACUUGCAGUCCCAAAGACCAAGGGAUGGAGAACUGUGAGCUUUCCUUUGUGCUUCAGUGUUUUCUGACUUCAAAGUGUGCUGAAUAAUUACAGUAAACAAGGCAUGUGGCUUCAAAACGAUGUUGAAACAAAUCUCUUGAGUUGAAUAAGACACAAAACCAUGUGACUGCAUUCUUAAAGAUUGCAGCAUCACAUCUGUGGUCUUUUGUACUGGGGUAACCUGAUUCCUAAUCUUUGAUGCUUGGCUUAGGUAGUGUGUCUAAUACCUGUUUAUUUUGCAUGUAUGAACCUGCACAGUUUUGCAAAAGAUGUAUUUGACUGUGUAAAUUUGCAGCAGUCUGAAAAAUAUUGUUGAAGUAAUUAUUUAACUUAAUGCAAACUGAUAAUAAGACACUUCUUCAUUUAAAA